GGAGAGGUGGCUGAGCGGUCUAAAGCGAUACUUUGCUAAAGUAUUAUACCUCUAAGGUAUCGUGGGUUCGAAUCCCAUCCUCUCUU
rnacentral:tRNA from 1 species